AUUGAACGCUGGCGGCAGGCCUAACACAUGCAAGUCGAACGAGUGGCGGACGGGUGAGUAAUGUCUGGGAAACUGCCUGAUGGAGGGGGAUAACUACUGGAAACGGUAGCUAAUACCGCAUACCAUCAGAUGUGCCCAGAUGGGAUUAGCUUGUUGGUGGGGUAACGGCUCACCAAGGCGACGAUCCCUAGCUGGUCUGAGAGGAUGACCAGCCACACGGGAACUGAAAAAGGGUCCGAACUCCGACGAAGGGCAGCGGUGGGGAAUAUUGCAAAAGGGGCGCAAGCCUGAUGCGGCCAUGCGGGUUGUAUGAGGAGGGCCUUCGGGUUGUAAAGUACUUGCAGCGGGGGGGCGUUACCCGCAGAGAAAGCACCGGCUAACUCCGUGCCAGCGGCGGGGGAAAUA
rnacentral:rRNA from 1 species